rnacentral:rRNA from 1 species
AAGUUAAGCUCUCUAGCGCUGAUGGUACUUGGUGGGAAACUGCCUGGGAGAGUAGGACGUAGCCACGUAAUUUUUUUAUUAUAAUAAAUUUAGAAUUUAACCUAUAUAGUUUAACU